rnacentral:tRNA from 1 species
GGACAAGUUUCCGAGUGGCUAAAGGACACAGACUGUAAAUCUGUUGGCUUAUGCCUUCGCAGGUUAGAAUCCUGCCUUGUCCACCA